GAUGAACGCUGGCGGCGUGCCUAAUACAUGCCAGUCGAGCGAACGGACGAUAAGCUUGCUUCUCUGUUGUUAGCGGCGGACGGGUGAGUCACACGUGGAUAACCUCCCUAUAAGACUGGGAUAACUUCGGGAAACCGGAGCUAAUACCGGAUGAUAUUUUGAACCGCAUGGUUCAAAAGUGAAAGACGGUCUUGCUGUCACUUAUAGAUGCAUCCGGGCUGCAUUAGCUAGUUGGUAAGGUAACGGCUUACCAAGGCAACUAUGCGUAGCCGACCUGAGAGACGGGUAGGCCACACGGGAAGGGGAACGCGGACCAGGGUCCUGCGGGAGGCAGCAGAAGGGAAUCUGCCGCAGUGGGCGAGAGCCUGACAGAACGACGCCGCGUGAGAGAUGAAGGUCUUCGGUUCGGAAAACUGUGUUAUUAGGGAAGAACAUAUGUGUAAGUAACUGUGCACAUCGUGACGGUACCUAAUCAGGAAGCCACGGCUAACUACGUG
rnacentral:rRNA from 1 species